UCCCUGGUGGUCCAGUGGUUAGGACUCUGCCCUUCCACUGCAGGGGCACAGGUUUGACCCCUGGUCGAAGAG
rnacentral:tRNA from 1 species